rnacentral:misc_RNA from 1 species
CAGAGUUGCAAAACUCCCACAAACCAUCGCGAAUCUUACCCGUACGGUUGCCCUCGGCGCUGGCGGUCCGGAAGGCCCUCGGGCCCCCCGGAUCCCUCGGGUCUCCCGCUCGCGGGAGGCUGCCCGCCGGAGUGCCGAAACCAAACUCUUGAUAUUUUAUGUCUCUCUGAGUAAACUUUUAAAUAAGUCA